rnacentral:pre_miRNA from 1 species
UUCUUUUUAUUUAUUAUUUUUUAUAAGUUUGUAUUUAAAGGGAAGAGGUUCCUUCUUUAUAAAGAGAGGUUAUUGGAUAAUAAAGAAAGUGUUUGAUCUUGUUAAAAGAGAUCUUGGGUGGACUCCCUUGCAGACCCUGAGAGGGUAUAAUCUCUCAAGCCUUUUUAUUUUCAUUUUUCUUUUCUAGUUUAUUUUUUAUUUUUUGCAUCAGUUGGUGUCAAAGCAGAGAAGAUCCAACCAUUGCAAUGCCAACAAAACCUACUUCUGAUAUGUAUAAUUGCAUGGAACAAAUUUUAGAAAAUCUAACCAAAGUGAUGGAAGAUAUUCAAAGCGACGUUCGUGGGAUGAAUCAGUGAUUGCAACGGUUGGAGAAUACUAAUAUUCGAGAAGAGGGUGCUCGCAACCAUGAAAAUCUAACUUCAGAUUUCACUGUAGAGAUGAAUCGAGUGCCACUACUGACUAGCAGUGCCAAUUAUGAAUGUGACGAUCACUUUGUGAUGCAAGAACCACGAUUUGUGGAAUAUCCACAUGAUCUUGGUAUCCAGCUUGGUCUUCUCAAGUUUUAUGAGGAAUUUGAAAAAGAAAUCAUAAUUGAGCUCGAGAUCCCAGUGUUUAUUUCAAGAUGAGCAUAAAGUAUUUGAUGAAUUGGUUUAUUGAAGAAAAUGUACCGAGGCGUAUGUUGGGAGUACAUCACCAAUUAUUCUAUUGGCCUCUCAAGGAUGUAAGCUCGAGGCCGAGCUUCUCCUAACCCCGGAAGAGAAGAAUGAUGCAACUAAACAAGUGACUUUUAAUUUUAUUUUAUUUAUAUCUUUUUGCUACUUAAAAAAUAUAUUUUUUGGUUUUUUAGUUUUUGUUUAGGGUUAUUCUUGCCUUAGCUUAGUUGUAAAGAUUUAAGGGAUAGAAUUGGAAGUUUAGUCUUUUUUAAAAAGGAUGGAUACGGAUAGGGAUUAGCAUGGUUGGUUGGGAUAUGGUAGACUUGUUUUUAAGAGAUACGGGAGAGAUAGAGUUUAGCUUGUGAUUUUUGUUUUAUUUUUAUUUACUAUUCCUUAUAAAUUUGUAUUUAAAGGAAAUAGGUCUCUUCUCUGUAGAGAGAGGUUAUUGGAGAAUAAAGAAAGAGUUUGAUCUUAUGAAAAGAACUUGGGCUGGACACCUUUGCAAAUCCUGAGAGAUGAUAUAAUCUCGCAAGCCCUUUUAUUUUCAUUUUUGAGAGACUAUACCCUCUUUCUGGGGCUGCAAGGGAGUCCACCCCAAGUUCUUUUCACAAAAUCAAACUCUUUUUUUAUUCUCCAAUCAUUAUAUUUACAAAGAAGGGACAUCUUCCUUUUAAAUACAAACUAAAAAGAAUAAUAUAAAAAAAAAGUAAUCUAUAUCUCUCAUUAUCUCUUAAAAACAAGUCUAACAUAUCUUAACCAAACCAAACCAACCAUGUUAAUCCCUAUCCAAAUCUAUCUUUUUUUAAAAAAAACAAAACUUUCAAUUCUACCCCUUAAAUCUCUACGACUUAAAAAAACAAGAAUGACCCUAAAAAAAAUUAAAAAUCUAGAUAACAUAUUUUCUAACUGCUAAAAAAAUAUAAAAAAAUAAAUUUUUUUAUUUGCAUCAUUAUCUCAGGGUUGGGAGAAGCUCGACCUCAAGCUUACAUCCUUCAGAGACCAAUCGAAUAAUUGGUGAUGUAGUCCCACCAUUCUUCUCGGUACUUUGUCUUCAAUAAACCAAUUUAUCAAAUAUUUUGUUCGCAUCUUGAAGUAGAACACUGAGCGAGCUUAAUCUUGAUUAUUUUUCAAGUUCCUCAUAAAAUUCGGAAAGAUUGACCUUAAUAACGAGAUCAUGUGGAUGUUCCUCAGAUUUUGUUACCUGUAUCACAAUUUGGUUGUUACAUUCAGAAUCGGCACCUCGAGUCAGUCGUGGGACUAGAUUCAUCUCUAUAGUAGAACUUGGUGUUGGAUCUUCAUGGUUGCGAGCGCCCUCUUCUCAAAUAAUGGUGUUUUCCAAUUGCUGCAACUGCUAAUUCAUUUUAUGAACUUUGCUUCAAACAUCUUCCAUGACAUUGGUUAGAUUUUCUAAAAUUUGUCCCAUGUGAUCAUCCAUAUCAUAAUUAGGUUUCGGCAGCAUUGCAAUGGCUGGAUCUUCUUUGCUCCAAUACCAACUGAUGCACAAAAUUAAAAGUAAACUAGAAAAAUAAAAAUAAAGGGGCUGGAGAAAUUAUAUCCUCUCUUAGGAUCCGCAAGGGAGUCCACCCCAAGAUCUUUUCACAAGAUCAAAACUCUUUCUUUAUUCUCCAAUAGCCUCUCUUUACAAAUAAGGGACAUAUUCCUUUUAAAUACAAACUUAUAAGGAUUAAUAAAUAAAAAUAA